GAUGAACGCUGGCGGCGUGCCUAAUACAUGCAAGUCGAGCGAACAGACGAGGAGCUUGCUCCUCUGACGUUAGCGGCGGACGGGUGAGUAACACGUGGAUAACCUACCUAUAAGACUGGGAUAACUUCGGGAAACCGGAGCUAAUACCGGAUAAUAUAUUGAACCGCAUGGUUCAAUAGUGAAAGACGGUUUUGCUGUCACUUAUAGAUGGAUCCGCGCCGCAUUAGCUAAUUGGUAAGGUAACGGCUUACCAAGGCAACGAUGCGUAGCCGACCUGAGAGGGUGAUCGGCCACACUGGAACUGAGGCACGGUCCAGACUCCUACGGGAGGCAGCAGUAGGGAAUCUUCCGCAAUGGGCGAAAGCUUGACGGAGCAACGCCGCGUGAGUGAUGAAGGUCUUCGGAUCGUAAAACUCUGUUAUUAGGGAAGAACAAAUGUGUAAGUAACUAUGCACGUCUUGACGGUACCUAAUCAGAAAGCCACGGCUAACUACGUG
rnacentral:rRNA from 1 species